CCCCCAUCUCUUUCUCAAUUCCUCAUUUCCAAUUGAAAAUGGAGGCGGAAACCUAGCCUCCUCUCGGUGACUCCCACCGCUGCUCGCCGUUCGCCCUCGCUCAGGCUCGCUCGGGUUCACUCGUUUCCCUUUUUCGAACCCUCUCGCUUAAUCUUCUCACGACAUUCCCAGCUUGGAGGGAUUGAGUCGCGAAGUCCCAGCUUCCAUUUGAGGUGGGGUCUGGAGAGGGAACGAACGACGUCGCUGACGUCCCUUCUUCGGCACGCGCUCGGAGCUGCGGAAAUUCGCAGGGCUCUCCGUCGCCUCGCCGUGGACUCGCGCUGCUGGUUCGAGACUCGGUGUUGAGGAGAACCGCGUCGCCUCGCCACCGGUUUGCGCUGCUGGUUCGGGAAGCAUGGCUUCGCUGCCGCCGUCAGCACCGCCCUCUCCGAAGACCCCUAAAGCUAAGUCUUCUAUCCUAGCUCCUAACUGAUUUUGUUCCUCGGCAAUGGUUACUCAAAUUGUUGAUAGUUAAAUCUGUGAUAAUUGUGAUUUGAGCAUCCUCCUUUGGAUCUACUAUCCGAUUGGAUUUCUAAUUGGAGGAACUGAUUUUGGUAGAAAUUCCAGAACUUAGCUAUGUCAUUUAUGCGUAGGCGCUAGGUGAAGGCUGAGUCACAAUAUUGUGAAAAAGGAACCUAGCAUGCUUCUGUUACUGUUAUUCUUUGGUGAAAGUCUCAGUGUGAGCAUGCUUCCUAAGGUUUCUAUGUUGGAUUCUAACUAUAUGAUGACAUGAGAUGCCAAUUUGUCUCGGGAGUGAAAGGGGUUACCUUCACUGCUACUGCUAGGUCGCCUUCUGCUUCUGGCCUGGAUUCCUAACUCGGCUCCUCUCCCUCCUUGGCUUCGAUCCCUCUCUCCCUUGGUCGUUCUCACUCUUUACUUCACUAUCUUGUGAUCGAUUUUUGUGAUGAGGAAAGGCAGAGGCAGAGGCCUUAUUUAUACUUGUGGCCUAACUGAAAGCCUGAAAAAGGCUGAUAUCUCUGGCUAAAGAGGGUCUUUGGCUGAUUAAGUGUUGGCUAAUUUCUCUGCAGCUUUGCAGAGUGUAACUCUGAAUCCUUGGCUUUUCCCCAACCAAAUUUUGGUGGUUCUUGGGGUGUCUCGUGAGAUGAAAGAGCAUAGUGAUCUUUGCUGUGUUCUGAUUUUAUCACUGAAUUUCUGGUGCACAAACUCCUGCAUUUCUUGCUCCACCUUUAACCAAAAUUGGCUUUAUCUGGGGUCUAGUACUUGGUGAAUUAAUGGUUGUUGUCUCUUAUUGCAGGUGCACACAGGAGAUAGCUUUUGUGGCUGAUAUCCAUGACCAUAUCAGGUUUGAAAAGGGUGGUACAGGCUGUUUUCUGCAGUCUUGCAGUGCUGCGGUUGGAGGGGAAAAAUGGCUGGCUGGUCUUGCCUUUCUCUCAUUUACCGAAAGGGAGCAAGGGAGUUGAUUUUCAGUCGGCUACCACCUUGACGUCUCGGCCCAACGAGCCGUCAAUGGGACCGCGAUCUGGGACUUAAGAAGGGCCCUUAGCUCGGCACUUCUACUAUUGUAAUAAUAUUAUUAUUUCUACUUAAACUUGAAUGUUGUAAUAGUGUAGGAAAAGCUCAUUUCCAAUAUUUUCUUUUGUCAACAUUUGUAAAUUUAAAGUUUAGCUUGAAAAACAAAUUUCUGUAAUUUGUACUUAUACUCUAUUCAAGAAAUAAAAACUCAUUCAUUAUUUAAUAAAA